rnacentral:rRNA from 1 species
AUGGAUCCCAGCCAGAUGAUGCCGCGGAGCUUCCCCAUGUGGCCGCCGCCGCCCCCGCCGGCCGCCUCCGACGCCAUGCCGCCGCCGCCGCUGCCGCUGCCGCAGCCCUUCCUCGCCCCGCCCCAGGCCAGCCGCGGCUGGAAGCGCAAGAACAACCCCAACAACAACAACAACAACCUCGCCGGCGGCGGCGCCUACCAGCCCCCCGCCAUCGGCGACCUGCAGGUGCAGAACCGCGCCAAGGCCCGCCGCUGGUUCAACAACCCCAACAACCCCGGCGGCGGCGGCAACAACAACCCCAACAACGCCGGCGGCGGCCGCAAGUACUUCUUCCCCAAGUCCAACAAGGCCGGCAACAACAAGGCCAAGGCGCCGCGCAACACCACCUCCUUCAUCAUCCGGGCCAAGCGGGCCGGGGGCAUCGCGUCGCUCGUCUCCCCCAGCCCCGUCACGCCCGCCGUGCUCCCCACCCCGCGCAUCUCCCCCUCCCGCGAGGGCCUCUCCGACAUGGCACAGCAGCAGUGGGGCGUCGACGGAUACGGCUCCAUGAAGGGCCUCAUCCGCCUCCGCGCCUCCUCCCCCCGCCACCCCGGGGACGCCGAAGGCGACGACGAUGACUCCAGCAGCGGCAGCGACGUCGAGGAGCACGUCGAGGUCGAGCGCCGCCUCGACCACGACCUCAGCCGCUUCGAGAUGGUCUACCCCGGCGGGAUGGCCAACGGCGGCGCCUACGUCUUCGAGGACGACCAGGACGUGCACGUCGCCAGGCUCGAGGAGGAGAACCUCACCCUCAAGGAGAGGCUCUUCCUCAUGGAGCAGGAGGUCGGCGACAUGAGGCGCCGUCUCGAAGCCAUCGAGGCGCGCUUUGCUGGGGCUGACGGCGCUGCUGCUGCUGGCAGCGCGGACAAUGCUGCUCUUGUCCUCCAGCAGAAUGCUGGUGCUGAGAAUGCUGUUGUUGUCCUCCAGCAGAGGGCUAAUGCUGAUGCUGAGAAUGCUCUUGUGGAGAAUGGCGUUGAUGCCGCGGCUGUUGCUGCAGGCGACGCUGUAAUUGAGUCUCUGGAAAAUUCUAAUGCUAUUGCUGCUGGUGCUGAAAAUGCUAAUCUUCUUGAGAAAGAGAAGGUUGAUGCUGCCUCUGCUUCUGAUGACACUGUUGAGGAUGCUCUGAAGAAUGACACUGAGAUGGAUGUUGCUACCUCUGCUUCUGCUAAUGUAGUCGCUGAUGCUCUGAAGAAUGACACUGAGAUGGAUGUUGCUGCCUCUGCUUCUGCUAACGCAGUUGAGGAUGCUCUGAAGAAUGACACUGAGAUGGGUGAUGCCACAGCUGAUGCUGGCAACUUGGUUGAGGAUGCUAUGGUGAAUGUCGCGGCGGUUGCUGAUGUCGUCACUGGUGCUGAUAAUGCAGUCAAGGAGUCUGACAUUACCACGGGUGAUGUGGAGCAGGAGAAGAGCGUUGAGGACAUGGCCGGUGCAGGUUCAGAGAAGAAUGCAGAGAUGGCUGAUACUACUGGAAGUGGAGAGGAAGAGGGCAAGGAGCAGGCCUGA